rnacentral:misc_RNA from 1 species
UACGGAGGGUGCAAGCGUUGUCCGGAUUUAUUGGGUUUAAAGGGUGCGUAGGCGGCGUUAUAAGUCAGCGGUGAAAGUUUCCGGCUCAACCGGGGAAUUGCCGUUGAAACUGUAGUGCUUGAGUUCCGACGGGGUACAUGGAAUUUAUGGUGUAGCGGUGAAAUGCAUAGAUACCAUAAGGAACACCGAUAGCGAAGGCAUUGUACUUGUCGGCGACUGACGCUGAGGCACGAAAGCGUGGGUAGCGAACAGG